AACGCACAUUGCGCCCGCUAGUAUUCUGGCGGGCAUGCCUGUUCGAGCGUCAUUACAAACCCUCAAGCACUUGCUUGGUGUUGGGUGCCUAUUAUUACCAUAGGCCCUAAAAAUCAGUGGCGGGCUCGCUGAUACCCCGAGCGUAGUAGAAAAGCCUCGCUCAGGGCGUACUGGCGGGUUCUAGCCGUUAAGCACCCCCUAUAAAAAGGUUGACCUCGGAUCAGGUAGGAAUACCCGCUGAACUUAA
rnacentral:misc_RNA from 1 species